GACGAACGCUGGCGGCGUGCCUAAUACAUGCAAGUAGAACGCUGAAGGAGGAGCUUGCUUCUCUGGAUGAGUUGCGAACGGGUGAGUAACGCGUAGGUAACCUGCCUGGUAGCGGGGGAUAACUAUUGGAAACGAUAGCUAAUACCGCAUAACAGUAGAUGUUGCAUGACAUUUGCUUAAAAGGUGCAAUUGCACCACUACCAGAUGGACCUGCGUUGUAUUAGCUAGUUGGUGGGGUAACGGCUCACCAAGGCGACGAUACAUAGCCGACCUGAGAGGGUGAUCGGCCACACUGGGACUGAGACACGGCCCAGACUCCUACGGGAGGCAGCAGUAGGGAAUCUUCGGCAAUGGACGGAAGUCUGACCGAGCAACGCCGCGUGAGUGAAGAAGGUUUUCGGAUCGUAAAGCUCUGUUGUAAGAGAAGAACGAGUGUGAGAGUGGAAAGUUCACACUGUGACGGUAUCUUACCAGAAAGGGACGGCUAACUACGUGCCAGCAGCCGCGGUAAUACGUAGGUCCCGAGCGUUGUCCGGAUUUAUUGGGCGUAAAGCGAGCGCAGGCGGUUAGAUAAGUCUGAAGUUAAAGGCUGUGGCUUAACCAUAGUACGCUUUGGAAACUGUUUAACUUGAGUGCAAGAGGGGAGAGUGGAAUUCCAUGUGUAGCGGUGAAAUGCGUAGAUAUAUGGAGGAACACCGGUGGCGAAAGCGGCUCUCUGGCUUGUAACUGACGCUGAGGCUCGAAAGCGUGGGGAGCAAACAGG
rnacentral:rRNA from 1 species